rnacentral:rRNA from 1 species
CACACCGUAAACGAUGUGUGCUAGUUGUCAGGCAGCUUUGCUGCUUGGUGACGGAGCUAACGUUUUAAGCACACCGCCUGGGAAGUACGGCCGCAAGGUUAAAACUCAAAGGAAUUGACGGGGACCCGCACAAGCAGUGGAACAUGUCCUUUAAUUCGUAGCAACGCGAAGAACCUUACCUACCCUUGACAUACCAGUUGGGAUUUCCAGAGAUGGAUUUCUUCAUUUAGUUGGACUGGAUACAGGUGC